UGCGUAACGCGUGGGAAUCUGCCUUUAGGUUCGGAAUAACAGUGAGAAAUUACUGCUAAUACCGGAUAAUGUCUUCGGACCAAAGAUUUAUCGCCUUUAGAUGGGCCCGCGUUGGAUUAGCUAGUUGGUGGGGUAAAGGCCUACCAAGGCGACGAUCCAUAGCUGGUCUGAGAGGAUGAUCAGCCACACUGGGACUGAGACACGGCCCAGACUCCUACGGGAGGCAGCAGUGGGGAAUAUUGGACAAUGGGCGAAAGCCUGAUCCAGCAAUGCCGCGUGAGUGAUGAAGGCCU
rnacentral:rRNA from 1 species